UUUUAGAGUUUUGUUUGAUUAUUUAUUUGUCGUCUCCGUUUUUCUAGAUUAUAUGUAUAUCAUCGUCGCUAUGAAACCUGCGCAAUUCAACUCAAUUCAAUCGGCUGCGAUUAUCCGUCGUUUGUUUUUUCUUCUAUUUCGCGAUACCGUCUGAUUUUGGUCCUGAUUUGAUUUUAUUUGGGGUUAUUUUGUCGGUAUGAUAAUCGUAUCAUUAUGGAUUCGCCGGCGUAUCUUUUUCCCCGGCCGUUUGAUUGUGGUUCUGAAUUGGUUUUGGUGAUUUUGAUCCGGCGUGGUAUUAGGUAUGAUAUCCGGUUAUGCAUCAACAAGUUGUUUAUUAUCCUGCGCUAUAUGAUUGGAUUGUAUUUUAUCUUGGUAGGGUUUGGUAAUCGGCUGAUUUGAUUUUUGCUCAACGUGGUUUGAAAAAGAUUCUUUGGCAAAGAAAGCACUUUGAAUACGAACCUUUGCUUUGGAACCUUUGAUCGACUCCGCUCUGAGAUAUCCGUCGGCUCCAAAAAAUGUUCAAUCUUGCUUUCUCUCUCUCCCUCAUCCUCCUUACUUUUAUAACUUUAGAUUGCAAUUGUUUUUAAUAUCUCUUUUAAAUCCCUUUACUGCUUUUCCUGCAGAAACUUGCGACAAACAUUUUGAUGGCGAUCCUACUCUUCGGUACUUGGAGCUUACGAACACCUGGAUAACGUGGAUAGGAUCGCCAAUUGCUUAAGCUAGAGAUCUCAGGUUUAAUCUGGCCAAUUGCUUAAGCUAGAGAUCUCAGGUUUAAUCUGAUGAUGGGAAGAUAAUUUAUUUUCUGAUUUAAUUAGCGUAUGGAUCUUUCUUUUGUUUCUGAUUGUGUAAUAUGUUGAUCAGUGGGUUCUAGUGGUGUCUACUGUCUGAUAUGAUUUUGUCUGUUCCAGAUUAUAUAUUCUUAAUGUAAUCAUCAUCCUUCUCAUUCGAUUUUGUACAGCAUGUGGUAUGGUGUUUUGGUUAUGGCCACUAUUGUUUGGGU